rnacentral:lncRNA from 1 species
AGAACGGUCGCCGCGUCGCCUCAGCACGGACCUCCAGGGAGCUCCUCAGCAAGAUCCUGCCAGGGCGCCCCUCAGCGCGAUUCUGCCGGGGUGCCUCUCAGCGUGGUCCUCCCCGGGGCUCCUCAGCACGAUUCUCCCGGUGCGCCCCUCAGCGCGGUCCUCCUCGGUGCGUCAGUCAUCGUGGUUCUCCCCGGCGCGCCCCUCGGCGCGGUUCUCCUCGGGGCUCCUCAGCGCGGCGCUCUUCUGGGGGCUCCUCGGCGCAGUUCUCCCCGGGGACUCCUCGGCGCCGUUCUCCUCGGGGCACCCGGGGCUUUUCGGCGCGGUUCUCCCCGGGGGUUCUUCGGCGCGGUUGUCCCCGGGGGUUCUUCGGCGCGGUUCUCUCCGGGGGCCUCUCGCCGCGGUUCUGUUCUCCCCGGGGGCUCCUCAGCAUGGUUCUCCUCCGCGCGGUCCUCCCUGGGCCUCCUCAGCGCGGCACUCUCCUGGGGGCUCCUCAGCGCGGCACUCUCCCCGGGGGCUCCUCAGCGCGGCACUCUCCCGGCGGCUCCUCAGUGCGGUUCUCCCAGACUCUCCUCAGCGCGGCCCUCCCCAUCUCUCUGGGAGGGUUUGAACACGGUCAGCACGGACCUGGGCGGACGGCGCGGGACGGGUGAUCACUGGCGUUGCUGAGGUGAGCUGUGUGCCCCGCGGCCGUCCCAGAUCACAGGCGUCAGCAGUGCAGCCUGGCCUGGGCAGUGCGCUCCCAUCUGCACCUUAUGGACAGCGUGGCCAGGGUCGAGGUCCGAGUUCCUGGCCGCGUCCCAAGGAUCGGAUUCCGGGUCUAUAGUUCUCAUGGUGGUUCAGAGUGGGCUGAAUUGGGAUUGGAGUCUGGAAUCCGCAUCGUGGUUCUGAGUCCGCGCUAUUGGGAUGGAAGUUGGGAAUCCAUGUUGUGGUUUUGAGUCAAAGCCCGAAUUGGGACCGGAGUCGGAAAUCCACUUAGUGGUUCUGAGUCAGGGCCCGAAUUAGGAUCGGAGGUGGGAAUCCCCGUUGUGGUUCUGAGUUAGGUAUCCUAGUUGGGAUCAGAAUUCGGGUCUAGGGUCCACAUCCUGGCUGGGAGUUUGCCUGAGUUGGGAUCUGAGUAGUUGGGGUCCCAGUCAGUCCGGGUCUGGAGUCCGCAUGGUGGUUUUAGGUAGGGCCUCAUUAGGGACAGAGGAUCGGGAGUCUGAGUUGGGGACCUGAAUCCCGGUCUGGAGUCUGCAUCAUGGCUCUGAGUUGAGAUCCAAGGGAGGUCCGAGUUGGCGACUGGAGUCAGGGUCUGGAGUCUGUCUUUGGGUAGAGGUUCUGAAUGGGGGGCUCUGAGUUAAGAGAUUGGGAUUGGGGUUAGAGGUCUCAGUGGGGUAUGGGAGUCAGGAAUUGAAGUCGAAGUUCUGCCUCUAGGUGGGGAUUCUGAGUCAGGAAUUAGGGGGCGAAGUAAAGGUUGCAGUCUGAGUUGGGGGUGGUGAUCACCUGCCAGGUGAGAGGUAGUGGUAGAAGUCUCUUGGUCAUAUUGGAGAUGAGAGUUGAUCAGAUGCAGGUCUCAGUCUGGGUAGUAGGCUUGAAGGGCCACCACUAUGUUCAGAUCCCAGUACCCCACUGUGGUCCCUGAGCAGGUCAAAUAGCCUUUUAUAUAAAAUUGAGAGUAAGAGUGCCUUCCCACAGCACUGUUCUGGUUAUGAAAGAGAAUAAUUCAUCCAGGUAGAAUAGUUCUGUCUUAGAUUAUCACAAAGUAUAAAAACUUUCCUGAUAAUAUCCACAUUUGAUGUGCAUUUACCAGUUCUUUCUUUACUGUGGUGCCCCUUUUGCUAGACCAAAAGCUCCCAACGAGGAACUCUGUUUUGUUUUCUGCUGCCUGCUCUGUACCCAGCCAAGAGCCUGAUACACAGCCUUACUCAGUCAGUACUUGAAGGAAAGCAGGCAGGCAGGAUUAACCAGAUUUCUAUGGUGUCUCAAAUGAUCCAUUUCUGCACCUGUUUUCCAGAUACUCAGUAGGAGAAAAAUUUAAGGAUUGAGUUGCUUGAUUAUGGGUGUAUUUUAAUGUGUUUCCUAACAUGCUGAGGAGAAAAGUGGGUCUGUUUCAGGAUUUAUGCUCCAGCUAGAGGGAUUUUUUAAAAUUGCGAAUCAGAGCAUGUCCAAAUUCAGAUAGAAAGCACAAGAAAACUAUAAAGAAUUUCCCUUAUGAAUGUAGAUGCAGAAGUUCCUUGUACAAUGCUAGCUAACUGAAUCCAAUAAUAUGUAUUAAACAACAAUUCUUAAACAAGUGGGAUUGCUCUUAGGAAUGCAAAGAUGAUCCAAUAUCAGAAACUUUAUCCAUGUAAUUCACAUUAAGAGGCUACAGGAGAAAAACCAUAUGGUUCCCUCAAUAGAGGCAGAAAAAAAUGAUGUGAUAAAGUUUAACGCCUAUGUGUGAUUUUGGGGUAGUGGAGUACACCACUUAGCAAGCCAGGACUAGAGAGGAACUUCUUCAACUUGAUACAAGUUAUAAACCAAAACUUAACUUUUCAGUAAACUUGAUAGAGAAAUUAAAAGUGUAUCAUUCUCUUUAAGAUAAGGAGUAGGCCAAGGAUGUCAUCCUGGCCAUACCCUAAUACAAGAAAAAGAAAUGGGGAUGUGAGGAUCAGGUAGGAAGUGAUAAAACUUAGUGUAGCUCAUAGGGUUGAUGGUCUCCAUAAAGAUUCUCAAACAUUUUGGUGUUACGACUUGUUGUAUUCUUAAAAGUUAUUGAAACCCCCAAAGGGCUUUUCUUGAUAGAGAUUCUAUCUGUUGAUAGUUACCAUCUUAGAAGUUAAAACUAAGAAAUGUUUAAAGCAGAACUAUACAAGCACAUAUUCCACUGGGGUCAUGGUGUGCUGCCUCUGGAAAACUCUUUAUCUUUGUGAGAAUGAAAGAAAAGGCAAAUAAUGUCGAGUAUUAUUAUGAAAAUGUUUUUGACCUUUCCUGAAAGGGUCUGGGGGGCUCUCUGGAAUCCCCAGACUACACUUUGAAAAUUACUGGGCUACAUGGAAAAAAAAAAUUAAGGAACUUAACAACUAAAGAGAGAUUUCAGAUUUCAGAGAGGUUUUGGAUAUAAGAUCAGUGUACUCAAAACAAAAAACAAAAACAAACCACAUUUCUUUAUGCCAAUAGCAACUGACUAAAAAAAAGCAUAAUAGAGAUUAGGACAGCAAUCAGAAUAGCAGCAAAAUUUAUACCAGUCUAGGAAUUAACAAAGACGACGACUUUUAUGGAAAAAAUUUUAAAACUCUAUUGGAGGAUAUAGAGGGAGAUCUUUCCAUAUGCAGAGACAUUUUAUUUUCUUGAACAGGGCAACUUGGCAUUAGAAUGACGUCAGGAUUUUCCAAAUCUGUUAAGUUCAACAGGACUCCACUCAAACUUCCAGUUGGAGGGCUUGAGUAAUUUAACAAACAUAUUCUAAAAUGUAUGUGGAAGAAAAAUAUUUGUAAAUGCCAACUGAACUUUUGAAAAGGAGAGCAGAGGACUUCUGCUGGCAGAUACCAGGGCACACGCCAACUUCAGCAAUCAGAGCGGUGUGGUGACAGAGGCCCAGAAGAGAGCUCAGAGGUAACUCCAAGUCUAGAGGAAGGGGACAUGUGAUAAAGGUGGCACCACAUAUCAGUGGGGACUGUUCAGAAGAUGAUGUUGGAAAGCCAGCCCUAAAAUGGAGGAAUAGGAAUAUGGAUUCCUAACUGAGCCCCUAGGAAAAGUAGACUCCAAAUGGACUAAAUAUUUGAAAGCAAAAGGUAGUUGCCAUUUGUUUAAUAGGAGAAAAAAUGAAUAAUCUCCAGGGCCAGGGUGGCCGUGGGGUUCUUAAACAGGAUCCAGAAAGCACAAACCUCAAGACUAAAAUGUAUGAACUUGAAUGCAUUAAUGAUUAUGGAUUAAGGAUUUCUGUUAAAUAAAUCCAUCAUGGCAAGGGUCAAGACUGUUUUCAUAAUAAUACUAAGGAAACAAUUUGCGUUUUUCACUUUUACACUCAUGAAUGUAACUUUGCCAUGACUCAUUACAAGAUAUUUGAAACAAUUAAAGCUGAGGAGGGAACAACAGCUAAAAUAUACCAGAAAGCACCACAAAUCAUUAAGAAAAAGGUAGGAAGAUUGCCAGUUUGCAGGAGGGUUAACAAACAGAUGAAAAUUUGCCCAAGCUAAUCAGUUAUCAGAGAAAUGUAAAUGAAAGCAACAGCUAUUCUUCAUAGGAGAAGCAUUAGAAAGUAGGAUAAGGCCAAGUGUUGGCAGAAGGCAAGGAACAAGCCUCCCUGUGUGCUGCAGGUGGGGACGGAGACAGGCACAGACGUUCUGAAGAGCUGGCCAACACUUCUUCCUCAAAUAAAAUAUUUUAUACCUGUGGCCCAGCAGUUUCCCUCCUAAGUAAACAUGCUGGAGCAGUUCUCACCCAGAACAACGAGAGGCUGUGUGUGUGCAUGCUCAGGGCAGCAUGGCCCAUAGGGGUGGGCAGUUGGAGCUGGUCACUGUGGUUAGGAGCAGGGGACUAGAUGUACACUUCACAAGAUAGAGACGCGUGGAAACACAGUGCUGAGUGACACAAAUGCCAAACAGAAAGAGGGCCUCAGUACAUGACUGUGUAUUUAAAUUAAAAUUACACACCACCCAGACACGCAGUACUAGGGAGUGCUCGUGAGUGCACACACACACACACAAUGAUAUAAAUAAAUUACCCUGGAGAAGCUGUUUGUGUAGGGAGGAGAGCAAGGAUAGAGGCUAGAGAUGAAGUGGAAAAGCAUGGAGAGGAAGAGAGCGGUGACUUUAUGCAGACCCUUACAGGGUGACAGUGUUUCAUAGGCUGAGGGCUGUGAUCAACUCUGUGCAGAGUCCCAAAAGCCAAGAACCAACGAAUGAAUGUGCCUCCAUGACUCUCCUGCCAGAUACCCUCUAGUGGCUUCUAUUUCUAGGAAAUAAAAUUCAAAUUCCAUCAGGUUUUUACAAGAUCUGCCCUGCUUACCUCUCUGACCACUGUCCUCCCUCACUGAGCUUUGGCUCUGCCAGCCUUCUUCUUCUUUGUUAAAUCUGCCAAGUAUCCCUCCUGCCCCAAGGCCUUCACCACCUCUGCCUGGCUUGUCUUUUCUGGUGAUCUUCCCUUGACAAUUCCUUCUUCUUAUUUAAAUCUCACAGGAAAUUUUGCUCUGACCUGCCAUAUCUGUCAUCCCCUUCAGUCACUCACUAGCUGACGACUACCUUUCGAGUCUCUGCAAAGCACAGGCUACGCUUUUCUAGUUCCUUAGACAUCUACUUAUUUGUUGGCUGCCUAUCUCUUCCACCGGAAGAGAGGCCCCAAGAGAGCAUAUCUGUCUUCCGUAUAGGGUCCGCACAUGGUGGGUGUGUCACAGAUUUCUGUUGAAUGGUUUCAUUCAUUUAUUGAACGAAGGAAGAGGCCAGGCCAGGAAAGUGUGCCUCCAUUUUCACAACUCAGUGAGAAAGCAAAUAGCAUGUCAAAAUCUGACCCCUUGCAACCAGGGUUUCUUAGCCAGCCACACUGGUAAUGCUUGGGACAGGAUGUAUCUUUGUUGUGAGGGGCUGUCAUUUAUAUUGUAAGAUGUUUAGCACCCUGCCUGGUCUCUACCUAGUUGAUAUUAGUAAUUCUCCCAUAGUCAUGAUAGCCAAAAAUAUCUCCAGACAUUGCCAUAUGUCCCCUGGGGGGCACCGCAGAUGACAACCACUUCCUUAGAACAGCUCUUGGGACUGGGAUGGUGUCUCUGCUGUGGCUCUUUAAAGGCAGCAGGCCCUGGCUUGCAUCCUGCCACAUCUAACACCUAUAGCCUCACCACCUCGGUGAGAAAGACCCUGGCCCAGGCCUGGCCAAUCAGAGUACCCUCUUCCCUGGUCAGCAGUAUAAUUUGUUUGGCAAGCACUUCCAGUCCCACAACCUAUGGGCUGCCACCCAGAGGUUUAGUUGGAACUACGUGUCAGCUGCCGUCCCUCAGCCAUCUAUGGCAUGGGCACCUGUGGCUUGACCAAGUUGGAGGUGGCCUAGAGAGGCCGGGCUGGGCCUGCUCACCUUCUCCAGUUAGUGCAGACUGAUGAAUGAGUGGUUCUCAGCGGAUACCGGAUCCAGGUUUGCAGUACACUCCAGGAGGAGGACGAGUAGGGUUUCCCUCAGAGCAGGCCUGGAUGGGAGGGCAAGGGGUGGCCUCUAAUACUGCCUUUCCUUCCGGUGCCUUUAUCAGCCUGUGCCAUGCUCCUCUGAACUGGCCGGCCCCAGCAUGUCCAGGUUACUGGCAGGAGCCUGUAUAACCCAGGGUUCCAGUCACACCAGCCAGGAAGGCCCAUGAGGCUGGAGCGCACCCAGUCUCUGGCUGCUCUGUCUGCGGAACUAAAAGCCUUUCUCCCAGAGCCUUUCCUACGGCUGGGCGAAGCUCUUGUUUGCAAUUUAAAUGUGGCCUCAUUUAUGGAAGAAUCCCUGCUCCUCCGAAAAGCCUUGGGCUCAACCUCCCUAGCAGCCCGGGCCUCAGCCAGGAGAAGAAAUGGAUCUAAAAGGCCUUUCUCCUGCUAAUUGUAGCAAUUAGCAUUAGAGAAUGGGGACUCGAUGGGGGGCCAGCGCCUGGCAAAACAAGCUUAUUCCCAGCUUAGGCCCAGGCCCAGCUCCACACACUGCUGCUUGGCCAGACUCGGCCCCCACCCAGGGUCUGGUUGGCUUCAGGGCAGGGAGAGAGGGCCCAGGCCUGUGGGUGCUAAGAGCAGUUGUGGAGGGUGUGCAUCUGAGUUGUUAAGCCUGGUAGCUGUACAGGUAGCCCUGGGCUAUGACUUGUGGUCCUCUCAGAAAAGGGUCUGACUGGAACGCAGAGCCAGACCAGAUAUUCAUGAGUGGAUCACAGAGUGUAGACUGAGGGCUAUCUGGUGAUUGACAGAAAGUAGUCUUGGGGCAAAUGACUCUUAAAGAGUAAGGAGCCAUUCCCCUCUAUGGCUAACUGGAUGCCUUUCUCUCCCCCUGCUCCAGAAAGGACUUCCUGUUCCUUCACUGAGCGUGCUUGCUUAUGAGGCUUCUGGAAACCAGGAGAGUUCAGUGGGCCUCAUUAUUGAGCGUAUGGGCAGGACAACCUGCUUGGGACAUAGGCCAUGCUACAGUUGAUUUUAGCCAGCUUGCUGCAUCUACACAGCACAGUGCCUUCCCAGGCAGUGAAUUAUGUCUAACAGGCAGGGGAAUGAUCAUUGCCUCAUGUUAGGGAUGCAGUCAUUCAAGAAAUAUUUGUCAAACACUCAGCAGGUACUAGACCCUGGCCCAGAGGGAGGGAUUUGAUAGGAGCAGGGACCUGCCUACCCUCCCAGGGUUAGUGGACAAAGGGGAGAAAGACUAACUAAUGUUGAAGGACCGUUUGCACCCUGAGGGGAGUGCUGAGGCCUGGGAGCACAGCAGGUGUAUAGCAGGAACCCACUGGAACUAGCCUGGGGUCUGAAAAACUCCCUUGGGGAAAGUGGCAGGGGCAGGCCAAGGGCCCUCUGGUGGUAGGGAGCCUGUGAGCACCUGGGAUGGAAAGAAGCCAAGCAUCUGAACUACCAGAAAGGCAGCUGCAGGAUUAAGCAAGACCCACAGGUCUCUAAACUUUGAAAGGAUGUCUGUCCACUGAGUAGAUAAUUGAUUGGAAUGGGGCAGGGGAUGUGAGAAUGCCAGUUAGGAGAUGCCUGCAGUACAGAGAAAUGGUGGCCUAUCAGGACAGUGGCAAUAGGGAUGGAGGGAAGCAGGGAACCUCUAGAACUAUGGAUGGGUGAAGUAAGCCUGGCUUGGUGAUGGGCUUGAGGUGAUGGGCAGGUGGUGAGGAAGCGGGUGUAUCGGAAAUGACCCCAGAACUUCUGACUUGUGCCACUGAAAGGAUGGGUGACACUGAAAGGACAGGGGCCUUCAGUAGAGUGGGCUAUAAAAUGAUGGAGGCUGUGGAGAGGAGGUGGGGGCAGGUGACUGGAAUGUGGGUCUGGCUGGGUUGGAGAGACAUUUGGGGGGUCAGGGCCUCACAGGUGGUCUGGAAGCCCUUGGUGCUGAGGGAACAGCUUAGGGAAAUGGUUUGCAUAGAGAAAGGCACUGGCAUUUAGUGGCCAUGCCAGAAGGGAAAACCUGCCAAGGAGACUGAGGAUAGAGCCAGAAAGAUGGCAAGAAAGCCAGGAGAACUGGAGGGAUGGAAAAGAGGACCUAGGGGUCAUGGUCCUGGCAGAGGUCACAUUGGAUCCAGUGCUUGUGAUUCUCUGAUUGCUGGCAGUGGAUGGCCACUGGCCUGCAAAUGGCCCUAGUGGAAUGUCCCCUGCCUGUGUGGCUCCCUGUGGGCUGCCUCUCCCCUGGACAGAUGGGGAGAGACCCCUUCCCCACCUGGUUCUCUGUUUCACCCUUGGAACUGUGGCGGUAAAGAGGACCUCCCCACAGUACGUGCAGGGAACAAGCUAGGUUGACUCCCUCAGGGAGGCCUCGUCCUUGCUGAGGUAUUUCAUAACCUCAGGAUAGAGAAAUCCCCCCAACUUUAAUGCAAAGCCAAGCAAGCUGAAAAAUGGCCUUGAAUAGGCUGAGAUGAAAAAACAAAGAGGCUGUCAACAUCAGAGACUCAGUGGGGGCAGGGAGCUUCAGUGGACUCCCCACAGACAGCAGUUCCUGGGCUUCUAUGCCCAGACCCAGAGGCCUGAGCCCAAGAUGUCAGGAUGGGUGGUCACUGUAAGUGCAGUGGAUUGUAGCUCAGGGGUGAGACAUCGCCUUUUUCUUGUCAGCUCUCCUUCCUGAUUAGUGGCUCAAACAGCCUUCCGAGACUCAAGGGGUUAACUGCAGAUCCUCUAACUCCUCCACUUGCUAAUUUUUAAACACAGCUGAGCUCUGAGCACCCCUCCCAAGGCUGUGAGAGGCCAGAGGCCAGCACAGACUCUGCACCAGGUCUGCACAGCCUCCACCCCUACUGUUGUCAGGAAUCUGCAGGCAUCUAGAACAAAGGUGCCUCCAUUAUUUCCCUCACCCAGCAUAUCCUGAUACCUGAGCCAAGAGUUCACCCAGAGCUUUUGCCCACUUCAUUGAUGGUCUGGUGGGCUUUUGUUGACACAUACCCGUGACUCCCAAAUGAACCUUUCAGGUUGGCUUAAAGCCGCUGGGACCUACACAUGACAAAACCCAGACGGAAACAGUGGCUUACACUCCUGUGUCCCUAAAGGUACCUGUUCCUAACAGUGGGAGUGCCAGAGCCUGGAAGCUGGAAGCCAAGGAGACAGGGACCUCCCUCCUGCUGACCCCCUGCCAGGCCACAUCCACCUAAGGGAUUUGGGAUCAUACUCCAUCUUCAACCACUGGGAUCAAAUGGAAAGCCCUCAGGAAUUCUGAGAGACAGCCCCUAUACCUAUGUGCACUGACACACAUACACUGACAAAUACGCAUUCUGACACAUAUAUGAACAUGCACAUAUGUGUGCCCCACUCCCUGCCAGGAGGUGGGUUCUGUCCCAUCUUUGACAUGUUACUUCUUGUCCUUCCCUAGGCCCAGUGGCACUUUCUUUGUGAUAGGUGCUGAGACCCCCCCGACUGGGCCCAGUGGCUGUUCCCAGGACCCAGUCUCUGCUCUUAUCUUAACCCAGCUCUAGCUCCCAGGACCCCAGCCUUUCGCAGGGAGAGAGAUAGCUCUUUUGGUCUGGCACAUGUUCCAUGCCAAGUAGUGGAAACAGCAGCUGCAGGGCAGCCUCAGACUUGACAUCAUUUAAUCCUUGUGACAAUCCUACAGGGAGGAAGACACUACACAUAUGUGCAGAUGCAGCAAGGAGCAGCUCAGCCACAUGGAAUGACUUGCUUGAGGUCACCAGGCACUUGACACAGCAGAGUUUAGCCCAGUCUCUGGAGAGACCAGCCUUCCACAUCCUGUCAUGCUGGGGAGGGCUGCCCGCUUUUUGUCCCUGCUCCCCCAGUUCUAACCCCGGAAGAGCGAUUGUCCCUGCUGUGCCUUCAGCCCAGACAGAAGCAGGCUAGGAGAGGGGAGGAGAGGCAGGGCUGGCCCUCGGAAGGCUCACCUUCCUCAACAGUUCUCUGCUUGGGCAAAGGUCUUCCAAGCAGCCAGGCUCUGAGGCUAGUCACUGUCAUCGUUGGGUGAGGCAGCCUGGGAGUACCAGAAGUUGGAGCAGGUGGGAACCUUCCCCAGGGAUGGGGCUGGAUAGGCAGGGGUGGGUGCUAAGUGGCAGGCCACAACCAGGCACCUGGGAGGGCCAAGCACCACACUGAGAACGCAGUGCUUCCCCUCCCCUCCUAGGCUGCUCAGGAACCCAUCAGUCUCCUGUAAACAAAUGAGACUAAGUCUCUGGCACUCUAGGCCCAGGUGCAAAGGACAGCUGCCCCUGCAGCUACUCACUCUGCCCUGGCCCUCUCAGGAGGCUUGUGACCUCUGCACCUGCUGGCUUGUUUUGUUCCUAAAAUACCCGGAUCCUUGAGAAUCUAGAAGACACCACUGCUAACAGAUUUCCACAUCAUUCAUUCUGUUCUUCCUGUGCAAGCUUCAUGCUGGGACAGGGACCAUAAAACAAGGUGACCCAAAACCUUCAGCAGAAUGCAGGUAGGCAGAGCAGAGGUCUCUGGGAGUGUCAUUCCAAGGCAGUGUCUUCCUCCUCCCCUAUGCUCCCCAUUUCCCAAGAGUGGGCUUCUUCCACCCCACUCAAGCACCUCUUCCCAAGGCUGACCUAAAGGCCUCAAGCUCUGCGGAUAGGGGCAGUCCUGAGGUGGCAUUGAGUCUUAGGGUUGGAGUGGGAGAUAUCUGUGCAAAGGCUGAUAGGAACGUCCUCCAAGGGCUGACUUCAAAGCUUGGCCUAAACCACUGCAUCAAAGUCAGCAAGCUGAGCUGUUUGCACAGAAAAGGAGGAGGAGCAGGCCCUUGAGCCACCUGUAGCUCUCCUUAGGGUCUCAGGCUUUCACACCAGGGCAGGCCUUGGGCCAGACUACCCAACUUCCAGGCCGGAUGUGCCACCGGGGAGGAGGAGGUAACUGCCCCUCAAAACCCUGCAGCCCAGGGCUCCAGGAUUCCAACCCAGGGACCUGCAGGCUCCCCUGCUCUCCAGAUCAGACCCCUACUCUCAGAGCCCUAGGCCCAGUGGGUGACAGCCUGUGAGACAGGCCUGUGUGGGGUGGCCCUAGCCCCACCUCAGCUUCCAACCUGACCUUGCUGCAUGACCUCUGGCCCAGCCCUCUCCACCUGGAGUGCCAUCUCUCUUUGUGGGAUGGGCCAGGUGGGCUGUGUGUGGGGGAGGGCAAGUAUAUAGGUGUGGUAUAGGUGGAAACUGCCACAGUAACCAGCAGCAGCUCAGAGCCGGGCCACCCAAUUUGUAUGCCAGCCCCAGCUGGGCCUAGGCACGUGGUGUGUGGAAAUGAACGAAGCAGGCAGCCCUAUGUUUAGGAGGCAGGUCCAGAGCUCACCCAGGCACAGCACAAGAUGAGUGCCUGGCCUCAGUGAGCGAGCACUGGCUGCUAUGAGGCUGUGGUGUGGAACCUUGACACUAGGGCCACUGGCCUGGCUGUGUGACCUCUACCUCAUCACCCAGAGCAGGGCAACCAGAGGCAGAGCCUCAGUGUGGUGUUCUCCUGUGAAAUAGUGAUGGCACAGGCAGGGGCUGGGGCCCAGUGCCUACACAGAGGAUCAGCAAAGGAUGGCAGUUAUUGAAACCUCUACGGGGAAGUUCCCCAGACACGAGAGGAAGACCCCCAUGGAAGCUGUGUGUGUGACGUGCUUAGAUUUUCCAGAGUCUUCAUUUUCCUUGUCUAAACAGAGGUCAUGGCGCCUCCCUCUCAGAUCAAACAGCCCUGUAUGAGUGGCUACAACCUUUGGUGGGCUCAGUGCAGCCCCUCCUGCCCCCUUGCUUGGGAGCUGUCUGCAGAGGCCUAGGGAGCUGCGUGGGGUCUCUCCACCUCAGCCUGUAUCCCCACCCCCACCAGGUCCCCUGCCUGACUCCAGCAUACCCAGGCCCUAGAAGCACCAACUCCAUGGCUGCAGCUGAGUGGAGUGUGUGCCUGCCCAAGCCUAGAGGGGUGCUGACCCCUCCCUCGCACGAGGAGACAUCAAAGGGAAGCAGGAAGCAGCGGCCUGGCUGACCCACAGCGGGUGGGAGAAGUGCAGCCUCACAACUGCUGGGGAUUUUCCAUCCCACCAGGAUUUCCGCGGGACACCCCAAGUCCAGCCUUUGAGGCUCCUCAGGAACCAGAGUUUGGCCUGGAGCCAGUUGGGGCAGAGGAGGGGGGCCAGGCUGGGUGGCUUAGGGGUGUGGUUAGGCCUGCUAAGGGGCUCCUCUUCUCAGUCUCCCCAUGAUUUGCUGGUUACUGGCUUGAAAUCUGGGCCCAGACCCAUUCCAACACUGAACCCUGAGCUCCCUGAGACCUGGCUGGCAAGGACAGGUCCCAAUUUUUACAGGGGCCUGAGAGGAAUGGAGAAGGGAUCUCUGCCCCUUCCUUUCUCAGUCACACCUCCUUGACAGGGGGUCAUCAGAGUGGGCUGUGGUAGGUGCACCAGGGAAGGGACCAUACAGAGGAGGCUGGUCUCAAGUCCUAGGGUGCCUGGGAUGGCCCUAUUGAAAUGCUGCAGCAGCUCUUGUGCAGGCAGGGAUCUGUAUGGACAGCUGGGUGGACACAGGUGCCUACUGACCUCCCAGAUCCUUCAGCAGAGCUCAGCCCUGAGUGACAGCCCAAGGCAGACCUGGCUACCUCAGCCUCUGGCUCACAGCCCUCAGCCAGAGCCCUGAGAGGCCUGGGAUCUCAAAGCUGCAAGGUGGGAGGCCAGAGGAGAGAAGCCCGGAGCUGGUAGUGAUGCUGGCUGAGUGAAAAUUGCACAUUUCCCAACAGUGUGAUGCUCCCUAUCCAGCCUGGGCUUUUGGCAGACUUCUGUGCUUUGUGGAGGAAGCUGGCUCAGAUUCCUCCCCUCCCUGUGCAGUUUGUGUGUCAAGGUGUACUUGUCACACCCAACUCAGGAUAUCUUGCAUCACUUUGUGGGUCCUUGUCCCCCAGAGCUGGGACUGCUGAGUUUUAGCCCUAAGCUCUUGCUCCCAUCUUAGCAAGUCAGGGCCCAGUGUUGUCCUUGCCUCUGCAUCAGGAUGGUAAGCUGGGCAUGCUCCGCAUCACGGAGACCUGCAUGGACCUGGAUUGGGUUGCCUCUAUCUUCAGGCUGGUCACUGGGCAGACACAAACCAGGGCCUCUGGCCAGAGGGGACAGUGGCUCUGAGUUACUUGUGCUGCUCUUUAGGGGUGAGCAGGGGCUGCUUGUGCAUCAUAGUGUAUCACAGGGGAUGCACAUUUACAAUUGAAAGCUACUGGUCCUGGGUAGAAGUGGGGCCGAGUAGGACUUCCCAGCCUUGAACAUGGGUUUGUCAUCCAACUGGGACCCACACUUGAUCCAGCGGCCAUGCUCUGUGCAGCCUGGGCCUGAGGGCAGCCACGCUCAUGUGAAAAGUGCUAGUAGCCAAGCUGCCAUUCUAGUCACCACAGCUGUCCUUGCAGGAGCACAUUGCCCAGGGCUGGGAGCUGUCAUUUCCGUGACGGGAGUGAGACUCAACACUGGGUGAGGGUGGGGGUAUCUGUUGGGAAUUAUUUCAAAACAAUUGUGGAAACUUGGCAGUGGAGGGGCUCUGGGCAUAGGUAUCCACAAUAUCCUAGUCAGGGGUUGGGGUACCCUGGCUCUGCUGAUAAGCCCAAGUGAGCAUACUCCUCCCCCAGCUUGGAACAGGUGGGACGGGCCAGGUGACACUAGUGUGGUCUGUGGUCUGGCCUCCCAAGCCAGUGGCAGUACUGGGGUGGCAGACAUUUGCUGUGUGCUAUCCCAAGGCCUAAAGGUCACACAGCUAGGUUGGAGCAGGGUUUUGGGCAGGAUGAGUAGGCAUUGCUGUGCUCUCAGAAAGGCGAAGCAAACCCCAGAAGCAAGGGGGCGAGACAGGGCAAAGGCCUACACUUUGCCAUCAACUCAGGCCUACUCAAUGCUGGCCCUGUCCUUCCCCUGCCCCUGCCCCAUCAGAUGGUGCGAGCUGGCGGGGCUUAGAGUGAGCCCCCCUGACUCUUCUUGGUGUGGAGUCUGAGGCCCAGAGUGUACAGGCCUCAUCCGUGUGACCCAGCAGGAGGAUGGGAGAGUGGGCCCAGAACUUGGUCAGGCUCAUCCGUGGAGAACAAGUUCUUCCCUAGUCUAGUUGUGGUCUGAGUCCUGGGUGAAGCAGGAGGCAGCCUGGGAAACAGCCUCGUUCUAGUAGGAAUCGCAUUCUCAGGAACGCUGACUGUGCAGGGCCCUUUCUCACUGCCACCUGGGAGGAUGCCUGCCUGCUGGCCAUUUCGGCGGACUGUCAGAGCACCCUCCCUGGGGUCCCAGACCGAAGGCCUGAAGUCCACAUGGGACCCCUGAACUUCUGGUACCUGUGUGGGCUUGUCCCCUCAACCCUGAGUGGAAUGGCAACAGCCAGCUGCAACCCUCCUAGCUUCCUGUCAUGUGCUGUAUGGAAGGGCCAAGAGCUGUAGUCAUCUGCAGAUCCUCCCACUGCACCUGUAGGACUAGCGUCUCCUGUCUGGAUGUGAGCAACUUGCUGGUGGCCUGUGAGAUGGGAGUUGCACUGGGCUUCUGGAUAAGGGCUUCUCGUUCAGGUGACAAUUCUAUGUGAAGGAGACCCAUGGAAACACAUCUAUCCCCUGCCCAUGUACCAGGCAGAGAUGGUACCUGCCCAUGUACCCUCCAUGACAUGGCUGGGUCCCUGAAACAUCAGACAGAUCGAUACUCUGUGUGCAUGUUUGUGGGCAAGACACAGUGGCACGUGUGCCCUGGAGUUUGGUAAUGGGAGGACUGAAGUAGUGCCUCCGUGUGUGAGCUGUGCCAGCCAUCCCCACGAAGGGGGCAUUCCAUGCAGAUGGGGAUCCUCUCCAGGCAGCUUCUUCCACACCUGAUUAGCUCUGACCAUCAGACCCCCCGUGCCAAAAGGGCCCCUUCCCUGGAAUCUGUAAUUCUCACAGGCUGUCCCAUACAUUUUAAAUCCAGGAAAUGUGCUCACCCAUGAGACAGGGAUGGCAAGAAGAUAUGAAUGAAAAGCAACCAGUCCGUAAAAUUGGAAGCCAUUUCACUCCUUACCAGGUACAAAGAUAACAUGCUGCAUGGAUCAGGGACACAAACUUACCUACCUUAUGAUGUAGUGAAAGAAUCUAAAACUUUUGUCUCAGCAGACUCCCUGGAGGAAGCCAAUAACAGGAGGCCUUGACUAGGAGACCUCAAGCCUUGGAAUGUGCCCAGACCAGUGGGGAGGGAAGGCUGGGAGGCAGUCCUCCCUUACCCCUUUUCUCCCAGGCAGACCUACCCUGGGUUCUCUCCAGGCCCCUCCGCCUGAGCAAGUGCUCAGUUGGCCACUAGCUCCCUGCACAUCCAACAAGCCUUUCUUUCCUGUUCCUUCUUCAAGGAAGGCUUAGCCUCAAAUCCAGGGCCACAGACAAAGGACAGUCACUCUCCUCUGCCAGAAAGUCAUUUAUGGGACAUGGAGAAAGCAUCAAAUAUAUUGCUUUUCCAACACCUAACAGUGGAAUAGGAGGAAUAGAAGGAGAACUCAGCCAGAAAGUUCUGGAGCAUAGUCUUUUUGCCAAAAGAACACGUUUUCAAAUGAAAGAGGUGGUGCUGGGGCACUGAGGAAUCAGGGGGAUGGACCCCACUGGAGCUUGUCUCAUGCUGGCAGCAAGUCCCAGGCCUCAAACACAUACCUGGGCCACCUCAGGAGAGAGACUGCAGGGAAGAAAUGAGUUGCAAUGCUCCAGCCUAACCAACUCCCCUUUUGUUAAUCCAAUCCCAGAAGGUACUGGGUAGGGUCAGUUAACAGACAGCUGCCUGUCUCCUGGCAGAGUCUGACCAAGCCCCAGUGGGCGCUUCUCUUCCUAAGUCCUCUGGUGUACCCCAUUCUUCAAGGGAAACGGUCCCCUUAAGAAUCUAUGUGAAAGGGUUCUGAAAUUGCUGUACCAGUUAAUGAAUUAUUUACUCUAAACAAUGUCUUGAUAAAGGGGGAGGAUGAAGUUAGCUGAUGUUGACUAAGGAGAGACGGAGUUGCCAAGGAAAUUCUUCUAAAUGAAAAAAAAAAAAAAGUAAAAGCAGUCAGCUGGUUUUGUCUGACUAUGAAACGUGUCACAGAGCAUGCACCUUUGGCCAUCUUUUGCAUUUAUGAUUUGGAAGAGAGAUGUAGCAGUGAGUGUGGGGCCAGGGAGGGGAAUCCAACAAAGCCAUUCUGCAAGCUAGUGGCUGGGAUUUUGGGGUAUAGAGUAAGAGCAGCCAGCCUUAGAGGCCCAUGUCAUCUGGGCUGCCUCAGAGCUAAAGCUAGGUAACCAGAGGGAGUAAGGAAAGGCCUGAGUCCCAGGCUAGGCUUUUCACAGUUGUAUUGAGAUGGGAAAGUAAGGGAUGUUCCUUGCAGCAGAUGCAGGGCCCAGUUGUCUAGAGCAGUAUUUGAAAUGAGUUGGCAUUUCAGGGCAGUGUUUGUGAUGCCAGUCAGUAGGUAGGGGCUUCUACCUCUUUUUUAGAAAUGUUUACUCUGAACUAAGCUCUAUGCUUUAACAAGUUAUGUUUUAAUAGGAAAACUGUCAUUGAUGGAAUCAUAUGUAAUUCCUACAUUUUUCCAGUUACCCAUUCCUGGGGAAAGCUUAGCCAUUGGACAAACCACCCAGAGCCCCAGGAACCUGCAUUUGCAGACAGCAGUGGCAGGCACAGUGGCCUAGUGUUGAGCGGGGGAAACCUGGCCUCUAUGUGUCUGGUUUUGCAAACUAAAACGCCAUUGCCCAUACUCAGGCUGACAGGUUCUGGAGGUGCCAUGGACUCCUGCUCUGUAUCUCACCUCUAGUUCCAUCACAAUGCAUGAGCUGUCAGUGGGAGCCUUUUAAUGCAGAUGCUAAUACCCAUUCCUAAUGCUAGCCCAUCCCCACACCCUCCUGAGUUGGUGCGAUAUAUCCUGGGAACAAGAAAAUCUGAAGGCUCCUGGUCCUCAGGCUAGCAAGAGCCUUGCCUGUAAGAAGUGGGAGAAGGUCACCUCUCUCAGGAGGCAGAACUAAGGCUGCACAGCACAAGGGAGAUGUCUGAAUGCACAGUCUGGGUGGCAGAAGGACUCCUGUCCUUUCUUCCACACAGACCUGAGCACCUCUCCAGGUGCCACCAUUUUCUGUCUGGGAACAUCUGCUAUCCCCAAGCCUCAGUUUCCUGGUCUACAAAACUGAGAUGGUCUCUUCUAUACAAGGCCCCAGGAGGAUCACUGCAAGUCACUGCAUUUCAUGGUGCCCAGAUUUCCCUGCAUUUCUAGAAUGUCAACAGAGAUGAGUGGGCUCAAGGGGAAGAGAUUCUUUAUGACUAGAGAUAUUCUGGUCAACUUUGGACCCCAGCUUCUAUGGACAAUAGCAUGUGGACAUGAGCCCUGGGGAAGCAGGGAUGACUGAGCCUGAAGAAGAGCUCUCAAGCCUUACACUCUCCAGACCAGCCUUGGGUUGCCUGAACCCCAGCAUAGCCUUAUGGAACCCCUGCCAGGGUCCUAGCACCUGGUUUGACCUGGGCACAAGUACUCACUCACUCACUCACUCACUCACUCACUCGUCAAACAUUCACUGAGGGUCCGUGACAGGCUCCAUAUGGAUUAAGCACUGAAGAUAAAACACUGAAUAGAAACAGCCAGCCUAUACCCUCAUGCUCCUUGAAUGUGAUAGAAGGAGCCAGCCAGUAAACCCUUUACCACAAAUAAACACACAGUUACACAUUAAGAAUGGGAGGGGAGGUAUGUGAUUUUUUACAGCCCAGUCUUAAGCUUUAGAAAUUGGCUCCUCUGAGGAAGGGACAUUUCAGCUAAGAACCACAGGAUAAGACAGUCCUGGCCUGGGGAAGGGGAGAGAAGGUCAGGAGAGAGCUUGAUAUGUUUAAUACUGAAAGAAUAUUUGAUGAGCUGGGACAUCUCCUGCAGAUCCACGGCUCCCUAGCUUUGUGACCCUGGGCCCUAGACUCAAUCCCUCAACCCUUAGGAGAUUAUCUAUAAAACAGGAGUGAUAAUAUUCUUGUGUUAAAAGCUGCUGUGAGGAUUAGUGAAAUGAUGUCUAUAUUUGCCUGGCAAACAGGAAGUGUAAGUAGUAGUAUCAUUUGAAGAUUAUUCUUCAGCCUAAACGUGUGUUCAUUAUGGCCGGUGUGUUUUCUCCCCACCUAGAUGGUAGUGCUGGGCCUCCUUUGGAGUACCUUGAUGUUUGGGGAGCAUGGAUGAUAUGACCAUAACCUGAGAAGGCAGGGACUGUACCCAUUCUGGUCCUCCCAGGUCCCAGGGCCCCCACAGUGCCCUGGUGUGUGAUCAGUGCCCACAAUACUGAAUAGAGGAACAGACACAUGGGAAGCAACGGCAGCCUGGUCUUUAAGGGUGAGGGAGCACCUUCUCCUGAGAGAGGGAGAGAUAGGUUGGGGGAGGUUGGGUGGGGGUGGGGAGAGCGAGUGAGCAAGCAAGCUAGAAACUUCCUGAAAAGGGAAGUUACUCUAGAAAAGGGUAAGUUCCUUCCAGGCAUCAUGGGCUGGCUUAACCUGGACCAGUUUGACUUUACUAAGUCCCAUUUCUCAUCUAGGGAGCCUGAGGCCAUUAAGGUUAUCUGGUCCCAAAAUCCCCUAGAGCUGUCACAGGGAUCCCCAUUCUUUGCCUUUAGUCACCCCAGCCCCAAGAGCCAUCCUCCACAUGGAGUGAGCAGGGAGCUACAAGGAAAAGACGGUCACAGUUGGAGAGAGACAGAGAACCAGGUGGGCUGGUAGGACAGGAAGGUAUAGGGAGAAAGUGAAGCUCUCUCCUGGGGAGGCAGGAAUACUCUCCUGCUUCCUUCUACCCACUCUUCAUAGAACACAAACACUGCAAAAAUGACUUUUUCCAAACCCUCUUAGCAUUCAGAAGUAGAAUUGCUAUGUAAGAAUUUUUUCAUAGGUGCUUUUUUGGGGGGCAUCUAUUUAAAAAAUAACCACAUCAUUAGUGAAAUCUUCCAAAGUCUCUUUUUGGAGCCCACAUUUCACUAAUGUCCACAUCUGAGGAGGCUUUCAUAAUAAAAGAACACAUACCUAUUUCACCUAUGAUGGUCAGUGCAAUCUUGAAAACACUAGUAAAUAGUGUCCAUCAGCUUUAAAAAUACAAACCCAAAUUGGGUCAUACCAAAAUGCAAGGAUACACACAAUAACCUGGGUGAAUCUUCAGGGAAUUGUGCUGAGUGAAAAGAGCCGAUCCCAAAAAGGUGAUUUGCUAUGUGGUUCCAUUUAUAUAAUUUUCUUGGAAUGAUAAAGAAAUGAAGAAUAGGUUAGUAGUUGUCAGGGGCUAAGGACAGGGUAGGGUGGGAGGGAAUUGGGGGUAGCUAUAAAAGGGGGACAUGAGGGAUUCUUGAAGAGUUAGAAAUGUCCUGUAGUGAGACUAUCAAUGCAAUAUCCUGGUCAGAAUAUUGUACUACAGUUUUGCAAGAUGUUACUAUCGGGGGAGACUAGGUAAAGGAGUAUGUAAGAUUUCUCUGUGUUGUUUCUUAGAACUGCAUGAGAAAUGUACAAUUAUCUCAAAAUAAAAAUUUAUUUUAAAAAAUGCCCAAAUUAAAAAAAAAUCAGUAGUCCUCCUAAAAAUACCCAGAAAUGAAUUUUAGAAUGUCCAAAAUCCAUACAAAGAUCUAAAAAAAUAUGGAAGGAUGUUGCAAUGGAUUUGAACAUGUGGGUAAACUGCUUCUAUUUGUGGCUGGAAAGACUUUUUUUUUGAGGUGGGGAAGGCAAUUCUUCAUCAGUUAAUCUAAAUUGAAUGAAGUUUCAAUAACAAAUGCCAAUGGGAUAUGAAUAUACACACAGAUAGACAACUUUUUUUUUUUUUUUUUUUUUAAUUAGGCAAGCUGAGGCCAGGUGCAUUGGCUCACGCCCGUAAUCCCAGCACUUUAGGAGGCUGAGGCGGGCAGAUCACUUGAGGUCAGGAGUUUGAGACCAGCCUGGCCAACAUGGUGAAACCCUGUCUCUAAUAAAAAAAAAAAUUAGCCAGUCAUGGUGGCAGAUGUCUGUAGUCCCAGCUACUAGGGAGGCUAAGGCAGGAGAAUUGCUUGAACCCAGGAGGUAGAGGUUGCAGUAAGCCGAGACUGUGCCACUGCAUUCCCGCCUAGGUGACAAAGUGAGACUCUGCCUCAAAAAAAAUAAAAAUAAAAAAAAAAUUAGGCGUGCUAGUUCUAAGUUUAUAUGAAAAAAAUGCAUGUCCUAUAAAAUUCAGAAGUAGCAGCAGUCUGGCCCCUUGUGCUCCUCUAGCCCUCAACUGGCCUAACAGGCCCUAGUGUGCAGCAGGGACUAUUUUCCCAUCAUCACUGUCCACAGCAUCUGGACAAGAAUACAGAGAACGGCUGAUUUAAAAAAAAUCUAAUCUGGGAUCCUAUGCAUCCUAAAUAAUCUUAUGAGGAUGCACUUGUAUUUUUUCUGAUGCUGAUACUAUUCAUUCCAACUCGCCUCCCCAUCAGCUUUGUCAGGCACUGUGAAUUGCAUGGUACACAUGAUUACAAUGGAUGGAAUGGCCAUCAUGAGGUAUAGCAAUACAUUUAAGUAACACUGUGUCACUACUAUAGGACAGGCACUUUUCUGCAUACUUUAUAUUAUUAAUUUGUGUAAUCCUCCUAACAACCCUCUGAGGAAGGUACUCUUAUGAUUCCCAUUUUACAAAUAAAGAAACUGAGACUAAGUGACUCACUCAAGGUGUAGCAGGUAGAAAGUAGUGGAAUUAGGAUAUGAGUUCAGACUCCAGACCCUGUUAUUAGCCCCUGUCUUUGGCUAUGGAUUAGUAAAGGAGAGCACAGCCAAGGGUGGGACAGGCAGCUGUAGUCCUCUGGACCAGCUUCACAUGGAUGGGGCUGCAUUGUUACAGGUGGCCUAACUCAGACAUGGAAACUGAGUCGCUGCUGCCCAACUCAUGCCAUGAAACCAUUUUGGCCUGCACAGCUUAUAACAGCACUCUAGCUCUAGCUAUGACACUUUAUGGUGUUAGUGGGUUUUUUUGGUGGUUGGUAUGGAGGAGGGGCUGGGCUACAAGUUUUAGAUUAUGUUUCUUAUUGCGGGUUUUUAAAAAUUCUUGAAUUAGGCCUAUUUGCUCUUUUGUUCUCUAUUGAGUUAGCAAAUUCAGUUUUUCCAAGAUGCCCUGAAAGUAUGAUCAUACAUGUAUACGAAAUGGUCCUUGGGUCCAGCUGGCAACUCCUGUGCACCCCCGACCUGGAUUCUGCCUUCCUUGAAGUGAGCCUUGGAAGAAACAAGUGCUCAUGCUCCCUGACAUUAUUAGCUGCCACGAUGAAGCCUCAGUCCCAAACACCCCAGCUUCCUGUCUAACUCAAGAGCUAAUCCUGUGUUUAAAUCUUAAGAGUGUUUAGAUCUUAGGCCAUGCCAUGAAUUCCCCUGGUUGACUGCAUUUGUGAAAAUGAGCUUCCCAUUAUUGGCUCUUAAGUAAUGGAGAUGAGGGGGAGUCCUGCUACACAGAUAAGUGCAUCAUAAAGUUACAUAAUUAAAAUAACUGAGCUCUGGCCUAUCAACAGGCCCAUCAGCAGUCCAGAAUAGAGUCUAGAAAUGGACACAAAUUAAAUGAGAGUUUGAAAUAUGAUAAAGGUAGCAGUUGAAAUUAGUAGAGAGAUGAUGAUGUACUCAAAUAAAUAGUGUUGGACAACUGGACAAAUAUAUGGGAAACCAAAUUGGAUUUAAUUACUCUGUCAAAAUCCCGAUAAAGCAAGGAUUUAAAUGUAAAAAAUGAAAUAAAAAAUGAUAGAAGAAAACAUGGAAGAAUUUAUUAAAACAAUUUCAGGAUGAGAGGUUAUUUCAGAAUUUAAGAUAAGGACCUCAAACCAUAAAAGACUGACACAGCUGACUAUGUGAAAUUAAAAAAAUUCUGCCACCAGAAAAAUAUUAUAGAAAAAGCCAAAACACCUAAGGAAAAUGAGGAUAAAAUAUUUUCAAUGAAUAUGACAAAGCAAGUUUCUACAAAUCAGUAAGACAAGGUAUUUUACAAAGUCCAAAGGGUAUGAAGAAAUAGUUCACAAGAAAGAAAAACAAAUGAUUUUAAGCAUUUGGAAAGAUAAAAACCUCAUUUCCAACAAAAGAAAUGUAAAUUAAAGCUCCAGUGUACCAUUUCUCAUCUAUGAAAUGAAUGAAGAUAAAAACCUGAGUAUACACUUGGUAAGGGUGGGGGAAGAAAGUGCAUUUGUGCAGUCAAAGUGAUGUAAAUGGUACAGCCCUUAUUUGGCAGUAUCUAUCACAACAUAAAUGAACAUUUUAAUCCUGCUGGAAAUGGGGGGAAAGGGAGGAUCUCUUAAAGUAAAUCCACUGAAAACGGAGACCAAAAUUUUACAAUAGAGAUAUUUGAUUGGGAAGUUAAUUUGAAAAAUAACAGUAGUUAAAAUAUUAUUUUAUCUCAUAUGCAAUAACAGUUGUUAGAGUUACAAUUAUGUACACGUUUUAGAAAAAAACAAAUCCAGAGGGGAUUUUGGUUUGUCUUUUGUAAAGCAUUAUAUGGUAACAUCUGAGGGCAUCUUUUAUACUUGGCAGAGGAUGUUGGCAGCACUUCCACAGAGAGGAUCAUUUUUUGUAGAAGUAUGGCAUGGUUUCACUGCUUGACCAAGAGGCCACCUGCAUCAAUUAUCAUCUCCCCUGCUGUCCUCUGAAAUGCUUAUCUAGGCAUCGAUCUUGGUUUCCUCUUCAACUGAUUAACUAACUGGUCUACUCUGCCCAGUCUCUAUUUGAGAAAUCAUUUGACAUCAUUUUCUUUAACUUGAUGAAAUCUCCUAUUUUGACAAGAUUUACAGUUCCUCUUUAUAAGUUCCUCUUUACUUUGUGUGUGCUUUAUAUUGUCUUUGGUUGACAAGAGACAGCCAAAGAGGUCAGUCAGCAGAGAUACAAGUAGGGAUAAGAUGGAUAGGGAGAAACAACAGUGUUCAAUAGGGAGGGAUGUUUCAGGGAAACUAAUUUCAUAAGUGGUCAUUUCAGUAGUGAAUAUAUUUGAAUGGUUAAUGGCUGCUGUUUUUUAGCUGCCCUACAUAUCCAUCAACAGAGGAUCUGUUCCAUAAAUCAUGGCACAAUGAAACUCUGCAGCUGUUAAUGAAAAGGAGAUUUGCUAGAUGUCUUAAUACAGAUCCAUCUCCAGAACAUACCAGUGUCUUCCUUUUAAGUGGUGCACACUGGGGCUGAACACUUACUAAGAAAUGAAAGGGCUCCCCAGUCAAAGCUGACAGGUGUCAUUACAACAUGACCCCUGUGGUAGAUCCCAGCACAAUACACUGGCCAUCACUCCAUUCUCUUCAAAUGUCCUAGGGUUGCUUCAUACAGCAGACCAUCGUACCCAAAGCCACUAUGCAUAUGACUUGGUUAUCUCCUGCCAGGCUGUAGUCCAGUUAGUGCUCCCUUGGAAAUACUCAAGACCUUAAUGAACUAUCUAUCUGUGAAUCUGUGAAGCUACCCAUUUCUUAGAGGCCUCUUUGGAGAGCUGGCUGUUGAAUACCCAGUAUGAUGGUCCUUAGCCUUCUUAGACCUUUCCUGUACCACUACCUCUAUGCCUUUUGCCAAGUCCAAGUGUUCACCAGAAAUGGAACUGAUGCCAGAAAGACUACAGCUAACAAUCUGAGCAGAACAGUGAGCAUGUCCUAUCUGGGAAAAGCCCAGCCCAUUGGGCUAAAUCUCUAGCUGAACACAGAGACUAUGCUCCUUCCAAUUAUACUGGAAGCCCAACCAUGAGAAAACAGCACUUCAACUACACUGUUCAGAGCCAUCACCUGUUCACACGUGUGUCUGUAUACAUGUAAACACACAUUUUGCAAUAAAAAUGCUUCUCAGAUGUACUGCACCAUAAUAAAUCAGCAUUGUAUGUACAGCUCAAAAAGAAGUAUGGCAUACCUAUGGAAGAAGUCAAAGGCAAAGUGUAGAAAAAUACAUACAGUAUGCUACCAUUUGUAUAAAAAGGAGCCGUAUCUACUAAGUACAUGCACACACAGACACACGUAUAUUUGUUUAUAUAAAAUACGUCUGGAAAGAUGCAAUAGGAAAGUGUUGAGUGGUAACCUUUAGGGAAGGAAACUUGGGAAUUAGGGUUGGGUGGGGAGAGUGUUAUUUUUCACCCCUUUUGUACUCUGAAUUGGUUUUACCAUGUGUGUAAAGACUGUUGUAUGAUUUUUGUAGCACAACCCUUGAAUACAUAAAGCACGAUUGGCUCCCCAGAAGGCAGGUGUUGGCCAGGCAGUGGAUGCACGGUAGGGCAGUGUGCAGCCCUGCAUGCACGUGGCUGGUAUGCCCUGCGGGCAGCAGCUCCCCGCACACAGUGCUGUGAGUCUCUGGUUCAUGUCACUCUGUGGAGCAGGGGCUGCUCCAGCACAAAGAGGUUUUUGACAGGGAAAGGCAGAGCCAGAGUCAGGGCAGGCCCUGGGCGGGCUCCUAGAGAGCCCAACCACCCUCUAAUAAGGGGUGCUCUCCACCCUAUCUGAGGAGCAAUUGGGAUCUCCUAGGAAGUGAAACUGUUACGUAUGUCUUAUUACAGAAUUUCCAGUGGAGUGAUUCUGGAAGAAAUGUGUAUGGCAUGUUGUGACUGCUAUGUCUCAUGAAAUAUUUACGUUUUUAUGUAACUUUUUUCCAUUUUCAGAUCAUCUUUUAUUUUAACGCAAAAUGACAAUAUAUUUUUCAAUUAAUUUGCCCAAUAUCUGUGUUUAAAUGUUUUCUAAUGCACACACGUGUUUUAAACUCAUUAAAAAAAUAUGACUUAGA